AUAAUGUUCUUGCAUAUUUAAGUGGUUGCGUUUUUUUUGAGACAACCUGUAUAACCGUAUUCAAAUAUUGUUGGAAAAUAGUUUCUAAGGUGCAUCUGGGGAAUGAGAUUGACGAAAGAGGCAAACAGGCCAAGUGCAUUGGAAGUCUGGAACCCACUUUCCUUUUCGUGCAAGAUGGCGGACUCUAGUUCAUCAAAGUUGGCCGAACACGGCAAACAGGCUUAUUCGGACAAAAUUUCAUUCAAAUCGAAUAUGCUUUUCCCCAUGCCCCUGGAAGAAAACGAAAAUUUAGACUCAUUGAAUGAUGGAAAACAUUUGGCUCAGGAUCAUUCGGUUUGUUUAUCAUGAUAUUUUAUAUUUUAUAAUAAAAUUUCUUGUGGAGAUAAACGGCCAUUAGAUAGUUUUUGUACGGACUGUACAGUUAUACUGUACCAAAGUAACCAAACUAUAUGCACUUUUAACAUAUACCUUUCCCAAAUGCUCAUGCUAUAGAGGCUUUAUGGCCCACCUCACCAAAACAUAGUAGCAACAUUGUUUCACCUGACCACUCACCUUACCACAUGACUGAUUUGGUGAGAACAUUUUGUAAACUGUAUUUACAGAACUCAGUAGAGAAUACAUUACCUGGUACUCCAGACUUGUACUUAUUAGUAACUGCACUGUAUCAUUUACAAAUUGAUUGUGCAGUGUGUUGAUGGCAUUGCAAUUUUGCCAAACUUUAACUUUUCAGAUCUUUUGGAACUUAAUAAGAGAUCAUGCAUAAUCCUAAAAUUUGGUUAAAACUCAUACCAAGGGCCUCUAAGAUUACUUCUUAAUAUCUGUCAAGUUAGCAAUAGCCAGAGUUAUUUUUUCUCUAUUCAUGAUUUAUAUUUUUAAAGAAAAGGCUCAUGAACAAUAGACAGUAUAAACAUUUGACUUCUCAAGCUUUCUCCAACUUACAAUUCCUGGGGAUCACCUACAAACAAUGAAAAAAUUUCCAUUGACAUUGAAGAAAAGCUUGCAGAUCACACAAAGUUGUAAAGAGGUGUUUGAAAGGGUUUCAUAUAUUCGUUCUUUUUAUUUUCUAUAAGGAAGCAAUAGUUUCUGCCCUUCCGAAAAGAAUAUCGAAGCCAAUACGUGUGGAAGAUGUAGAAAAGAUGGGUUUUGGUCACCAGGUUAAUCAGUUACCACCUCAUCUCCAGCCGUUUGCGAAUUGUGUACCCAAGACCUCCUCCAGGAUUCCCUCCUAAUAUGAACCCUCGGAGUCCAAUUCACCCACCUGGUCCCUAUGGCCCCCCUCCUAUUCCUGCUGUUCCUCAAAAUGUUGCUCAGGCACAAUCUCUGGCGUUAUACCCAACUAUGAUGAAUCAUAGGAUGCCCUUUCCCCCGCACACCGCCUUCUCAACCACCACACUUCCUCCGACCUGUUUAUCACUCCGACCCAGACCUUUGAGAGACGUCGUUUGACUAAAGAAACAUCUCAAAGUACAACUGGAGUGGAAAUGGAAACAAACCAUACUAAUAAGGAUAUAAAGAUGACUUCACCUCACGUCACUAACGGCGAUCACAACUUCAAACCAACCACGUUUGAAGGAUCUCUCGGUCAAGUUUCCGUCGGCUCUGUAUUUCAUCCACGCGAGGUCGUUCAAGUUGAUGAUUCUGGAAAGCCUAAAGGACCUGUUGGCUCUUUAAAAGAAACCAAAAAGAAAUACCAAUUGCUCUUAACAAUUGAAAAGGGCUUUGAUCAAAUUCUACCAAUAGAGGACUUAGAACGUACAGUGUGUAUAGUUCUUCAAGUACCACAAGACGUGAGACCACAGUUGCGUGAGAGACGUGAAAGAUUGUGCCAACGUUGCUUUGACUUGGUGAAUUUAACGCCAUCAAAAGACUCUAAUAAGAAACCCUGUUAAUUCUUGGCCUUAGUAAAGCAUCUUGGCCUGAUGGUGGGUAUUGUCUUCCAAUGCCUUCAAACCGAGCGUGUCCAUCAGGUUGGUCGAAAUGGCUACAGAAAACACGACGUUGAAGAUGACGACAAAAAUGCGUAUUGCGAUGCAAGACGCUAUGGCUGGGUUCCGUACAUUUCGAAUUAUUGCAAUAAUCUCAGAUGGGGAUUUAUCUGCAAAACUCGGCCAAACUUCCCUUCUACCAGAAAGACAUGGCCCGAAGGAGCGUAUUGCAUUUUCAGAUAUGGUGGCCGUUGUCCUAGAGGAUUUGCUAUAUAUAACAUCUCUUACAUGCAACCAUUGAUAUACAGGGUGUAUAAAAAAAUUCGAAUCUAAAUUUUGCGUGUAAUAAUGCAAAAUAUGUUUGACAAAUUUGGUUGAUUUUUCCACCAUUGUGAAGUUCAUUUAUUUCUCUUUCAAAUGACACGUUGCACGUGUCAUUUAGUUGAAAAGUAAAGGAGUACUGGUUCGACAAAAAAAGUUCAUAAAAAUCACAAUCUCCCGCCGAUGGAAAUUGGAGGAUAUCAUUACUGGGAUAAUGAAGAUGAUCAGAAUUUAAACAGUCGUAGUGGGGUCCUUCCAGAUGAAUGGUAUGGUCGUGACACUAAAAUUUACUUCUGCUGUCGUAAUGAUGCCGUAAAGCAAUCUUUUAAUCGAAUCAACCGUCUUUAUGGUCUUCCCAAAUGUUCCGAAAUGAUAUUAAUGCGAUACAAAGGAAAGUGUCAUCCUCCUCAAUCUGGUUAUCUUGGACCUCAUACUGGAUACUUGCAGUGGGACACUGAAGACAAAAGAAACAGAGACGAACAUUUUGGCGUGUUUCCUGACACCAGUAAGAGUGGUGGCAGAACCUUCGGAUAUGGAAUAGUUAUCCAAUUUUGUUCUUACACAUCGUACUAUCAUUGCUGAGUGAUUUGCAGUUCAGCUAACUUUUGAUUCUCUACUAUUUGAUUACAAUAGCUUAGUUUAUACGAAACACGAAUAUACUCUUGCUGCAAAGAAUUUUUCUGAUUGUACAUGUAUUGCAAAGCUGAUUAAAAAAUA
rnacentral:misc_RNA from 1 species